GUUCCUCUCCGCCCUCCGUGGCGUAGACGGCAAAUUGCAUCAUCUGCCCCGGCGGUCUGGGGUCCCCACUCGACGGUGUUCUCCCGGGGGACGCCACCCUGCCAGGCCCCCCCCUGCCGAGGGGUGACUAUGUGUCCUGUCACCCACUUUCCACCCUUAGCACUCACCACAGUCUGGAACUGUUCUGCUCCUUUUGUCGACUUGCUUGUAUGUUGGUUCUUACUCAGUUAUUGUCCUUUCCCUAGACUUAGGGGAUUUUUUUUUGGCCGGAAGUCAGGUCUCAAAUUAAUUGAUAAGUUUCCCCUGUCUUUUUUUUUUUUAAUGUUUAUUUAAAUUAAAAAAAAAAUUUUAGUGUUUUUAUUUAUUUUUGAGAGAGAGAGACAGAGUGUAAAUGGGGGAGGGGCAGAGGGAGAGGGAGACACAGAAUCCAAAGCAGGCUCCGGGCUUCGAUCUGUCAGCACAGAGCCCGAUGCGGGGCUCGAACUCCUGGAUGGCGACAUCAUGACCUGAGCCCAAGUCGGACGCUUAACCGACUGAGCCACCCAGGCGCCCCUCCAUCUGUCUUUUUCAAGAUGAGGUCGUGAAUGACAGGUUCAGAAUGCCAAGGGCAGACAGCAUUCUGGGGUUUCUGAUGUCCGUUUGCUGUCUGCUCAGGGUGGCAUUAAGUAGUCCUCAAUCCCCACCUGCACUGCUCCCCAAGCCCCUGGUGUGGGGACUAGCCUCUCCUCACAUUGUCUCGUGAUUUGAGAAGAGCACGAGAUGUCCUGUGUUCUAGAGAAGACGGGCAGGAAGUAUUCCCAGUGAAGCUCCGUGGACACAUGCCCUUUGGGCUGUGACCCGCCUGCCUCUUUGAUGCCAGAGAUGACGGCUCAACUCUGUAUCUUUCCUUCAGGAGCUAGGUGGUAGGCCUCUCUAAUAGGUCAUCGAAGAAUCACAAAUAACGAGCGCAUCGGAGGAACUCUCGUAAUAAAAAGCAGACAACAAAAGCUGCCGUCUCGAAAGCUCUGCUGUGUUCUGUUCCUCUGUAAGAGCAGAAGUGAAGUCGUCCCUGGGAAUGAAAUGGCUCAUUUUAGCCGGACUACCUGUUCCCAGUCGAGGCCAGCUCCUCCCGUGGCCUGCUUCCGCCGCAGGCCACGUGUCCCUUCCUAGGAGGCGAAGGAAUCGGCAGUACCCAGCGCAGGGCCGGCGUACGCGAGGGGCGAGUGGGCAGAGGGCGGGUCAGGGGUCCGGGCUGGCGCGAGUGGUGGCUGGGACUUGGGUGGUUGGGGAAAGGGGCUGAGUGGAUCCGGGGAGUCGGGUAACAGGAUUUGCCUGAUGGAUUGAGUAUGUCGUAGUGGGGACGUGGUGAAGGAAAGGAAGGGUAGCCUGGAGGACCAGGGCUGCCGUGAUUCGAAUUUUACUGCCCAGAUUCUUAGAGGAUUCACUCCGACUCCGGUCUCCCGUUCCUCAGGGCCCCACGGGGUCCCGGUUCCCACUGAAGACUCUCAUUGUUCCACCCGGAGUCACUGAUGCCUCCCGAGUGCAAGUCGAGUGACGUCUGUUCAGUCCCAACUUGACUUGACUAGGUGGCAUUCAGUGCGCCCCAUCGUACCCUCUUCUUCUUUACAACGAAACAAACUCUUCCUCCUGUUAAAUACAAAAGGAAUACAGGCUUCGCUCGUUUUUUUUUUUUAAUUUUUAAAUUUUUAAUUUUUUUUUAAAGUUUAUUUAUUUUUGAGAGAGAGACAGAGUGAGAGGAGGAGGGGGGCAGAGAGAGAGGGAGGGAGAGAGAAUCCCAAGGAGGCUCCACAUUGUCAGCACGGAGCCCCUUGUGGGGCUUGAACUCACGAACCGCAAGAUCAUGUCCCGAUCCCCAGGAAUAUAGGCUUCUUAAGAAAAGAGAGAAGACCCCAAAGAAUAAAUACUUAGAUUUUCCAUACCCCACUAUUUAGAGAUAACCUUUGGGGCGCCUGGGUGGCUCAGUGGGUUAAGCGUCCGACUCUUAGUUUCAGCUCAGGUCCUGAUCUCACAGUUUCAUGAGUUCAAGUCCCACAUCCAGCUCUGCACUUGCCUCACAGAUCCUGCUUGGGAUUCUCUCUCUCUCUCUCUCUCUCUCUCUGCCCCUCCCCCAUUCGUACCCCCACAAGCGCAAUCUCUCUCUCUCUCAAAACAAACUUAAAAAAAAAAUAGGGUUUAUGCCUGUAUGUUUAUGCCCAUUCUGUAGUGUUUUAUUUGUUUUGGCCCUUUUCCCCUUAAAACCUGUAUUACUUUUAGAAUUGGGAGAAAAAAGCAUUUCACUUUACAAGCCUUUGUAACACAGCAGUUACACUCUUAGACCUCUUCCCUAAGGAAAUAAUGAGAAACUGCACAAAAAUACAUCAGAAUCAUCACACAAAAAGUGUGGAAUCCUGAGACCCUAAGGCGGCAUUCGUAGGCUGGAACAGCAUGCAGUUACUAAACUGUGACGCACAAGCAUACCGAUGUGAGAAAAUGUCACACGGUGUUGUCACAAACCGUGAGAUCAUGACCUGAGCUGAAACUCAGAGUCAGAUGCUGAACCGACUGAGCCCCCCAGGCGCCCCCCAGGCACAAACACUAUUAACAUAUUGACAGUUUCGAGUUUUCCUUAAAAACGCAUCUCGUUUGACGUAUAUUGCCAGAUUUCUCCGCAGCUUUGGUUGCCCCUAAAUGACGUCCCAGCAGCCUGUAAAGUACCAGUAAAGUGCUUCGUGGCCCCAUUCGUCCGUGCCUUAUACCCUCGUGGCAUACGUAUGUAGCUGCCACGUAGCACCCACGAUAAGGACGUGAAAACUGUCACAGGGCAUGGCUUUUUAAGAAGGCAGAGGUUUAUACUUGCGUAUUAGCUCUCACCCGGCAGCGGGAACCCUGUCAUCCUGCCUUUGUUACUUUGUCGCAUCUUUGAGGACAUUAGUGGGUGAAUAAGGGCUGUGGGUACGUAGAGCCAUAUGGAACAGAAGGAAGAGAGGACACAGUGCCGAAGAGUCCAGCCGACCUGGACUGAGCGUUCUGGCUUUGCAUUCCCCACCUUGGGCAGGUUACCUGAGCGGCCAAGCUCCCUUUCCCUGCCUGGAACUGGGGGCGAUGGUGACUUUGUACAGUGGGGUUGUGGCGGGAGCGAACACAGUGUGGUCUUUGGUAUCAGUGACAGCCACUGCCGGAGAGCGGCAGGUCCUGGCUCGACUCCUGGGAAGCGUCCUGUUUUGUCUUCUUGUUAAUGUUUAUUUUGUUUUGAGAGAGAGAGCGUGAGCGGGGUCGGAACAGAGAGAGGGGGGCAGAGGGAGAACCCCAAGUGGGCUCUGUACCAUCAGCACAGAGCCUGACGCCGGGCUCGAUGCCACGAACCGCGACAUCAUAACCUGAGCCGAAACCGAGUCGGACGCUCAACCGGCUGAGCCACCCAGGCGCCCCGGAAAGCGGCCUGUCUGACAGGGAGGUUCACCUUGCUGGGGGUCCUGGGGGCGCUGGGAGCAAUUUCCCGGAAGAGCCACUCGCGCUGAGAAGCGAGAGGGGGGCGUCCCCGGCGGCAGGAGCUUUGUGGCUUUCUUGUGGCUUGUGUCACCUCCAGCGGAGCCUGUUUU